UGUACGCACUACUGUAAGUCGCUCUGCCAAAGAGCGUCUGCUAAAUGACAAAAA
rfam:Salmo salar isolate Sally breed double haploid chromosome ssa03, whole genome shotgun sequence.